GCCAGGCUGAUUGAUUGGAUUUAUCAGGACUAUCGCUGUGAUCGGUAUUCACCAAGGUAGGCGUCUGCUAUGAUCGCCGCCUUUGUUGGAAACCAUUCGCAACAGCGCACUAGCGAAACCAAGCCAUGAUCAGACAACGCACUUUAAAGAACAUAAUUCGCGCCACUGGCGUCGGCCUGCACUCGGGGGAAAAGGUUU
rnacentral:misc_RNA from 1 species